rnacentral:rRNA from 1 species
GAUGAACGCUGGCGGCGUGCUUAACACAUGCAAGUCGAACGAUGAAGCCCAGCUUGCUGGGUGGAUUAGUGGCGAACGGGUGAGUAACACGUGAGUAACCUGCCCUUAACUCUGGGAUAAGCCUGGGAAACUGGGUCUAAUACCGGAUAGGAGCGCGUACCGCAUGGUGGGUGUUGGAAAGAUUUAUCGGUUUUGGAUGGACUCGCGGCCUAUCAGCUUGUUGGUGAGGUAAUGGCUCACCAAGGCGACGACGGGUAGCCGGCCUGAGAGGGUGACCGGCCACACUGGGACUGAGACACGGCCCAGACUCCUACGGGAGGCAGCAGUGGGGAAUAUUGCACAAUGGGCGAAAGCCUGAUGCAGCGACGCCGCGUGAGGGAUGACGGCCUUCGGGUUGUAAACCUCUUUCAGUAGGGAAGAAGCGAAAGUGACGGUACCUGCAGAAGAAGCACCGGCUAACUACGUG